GAGUUAUAGGUUUCGUAAGAACACAAAUUCUUUGAAAAUUAGGUAUAAAUAAUAGUUAUUUAUCCGGAACAUAAAGAAAUAAGAGCGUAGAGUUCAUAG
rnacentral:rRNA from 1 species